GACGUAGGAGGCGAGCGUUGUCCGGAAUCAUUGGGCGUAAAGAGCGUGUAGGCGGCUUGGCAAGUCUGACGUGAAAGCCCGCGGCUCAACCGCGGAUUGUCGUUGGAAACUGCCUCGCUAGAGUCCGGAAGAGGAGAGCGGAAUUCCUGGUGUAGCGGUGGAAUGCGCAGAUAUCAGGAGGAACACCUGCGGCGAAGGCG
rnacentral:rRNA from 1 species